UAUUUUGAUUGUUUUUUCUUUUGUUUUGUUUCUUCUUUCUUCCUGCUGCAUCGCGUGGUACUAAAAAAAUCUUAGGAGGUAAUGUCCUGAUCAGAUAUUCACCCAACACAUCGACGGCAAAUGAGAUGCGAUCAUAAUAAUUUUGCUAGGAUACAAUGAACUCAUGAACUUGUUGCUAUAAGAAAUGACGGGGAGAAUGGAGCAAGUUUUCUAUUCCAAUUAGAAAGCAAAGAGAAAGGGAUUUACAAGU
rnacentral:lncRNA from 1 species